CACUCAUCAAGACCGGCGGAGGGAUAGGCCCUUUGAUGCCGGGGCAACCUUCCGGGAUUUCCCAAUCCCGGAGAUGGUGCCAACUCCUGCGAGGCGUCUUCGGAAGCCGCGAGAGAUGAGUG
rnacentral:ncRNA from 2 species